AUGGAACGCUGGCGGCAGGCCUAACACAUGCAAGUCGAGCGGUUGACGGGAGCUUGCUCCCUGAUUCAGCGGCGGACGGGUGAGUAAUGCCUAGGAAUCUGCCUAUUAGUGGGGGACAACGUUUCGAAAGGGACGCUAAUACCGCAUACGUCCGACGGGAGAAAGCAGGGGACCUUCGGGCCUUGCGCUAAUAGAUGAGCCUAGGUCGGAUUAGCUUGUUGGUGAGGUAAUGGCUCACCAAGGCGACGAUCCGUAACUGGUCUGAGAGGAUGAUCAGUCCUACUGGAACUGCGACGCGUUGCACACUCCUACGCGGCGCAGCAGUGAGGAAUAUUGGACACUUGGCGAAAGCCUGAUCCAGCCAUGCCGCGUGUGUGAUGAAGCUCUUCGGCUUGUUAGGCACUUUAAGUUGGGAGGAAGGGUUGUAUAUUAAUACUCUGCAAUUUUGACGUUACCGACAGAAUAAGCACCGGCUAACUCUGUGCCAGCCGCCGCAGUAACAC
rnacentral:rRNA from 1 species